rnacentral:tRNA from 1 species
AUUUAUAUAGUAUAUAAGUAUAUUUGACUUCCAAUCAAAAGGUCUAUUUUUAGUAUAAAUA